UAAUGAUGCUUUAUUUGAUUGACAUCACAUCAUCAUAAAUGGCAUCUAAUUUCAGAAAACAAAGUUCAAGUCCGCAAAAAAUGCAUGUACAAAUCUAAGGAGAUAGGUCUACAGAAAUAGACACGUGGCUCUGUGGUCCGUAAGGUGCAGUCAGGAACCUCACAUCCUAGGGUCUGUCUGGGUUCAAUGUUCCAGUGGCGUGAGACAACCAAGGAAACAGACACCCCAAAGAGCCGAUGUUAUUUUUGAAUAUAUAUAUAUGUAUAUACAUGUACAUAUGUAAAUAUGUUGCCUUCAUCUGUAACAGUGCAAACCUCUCACAGCGUGCAAAGCAACAGUGUUUCCUACAGUCAAGUAACUAAAUCAGUGAAAAGUUAUCCACACAGCAUUAUAAAAACAUUAUAUAAUUACAUAGCAGAUAUAUAUGCACGCCUUUGCACGCUGAUUAGAGUUACUUGCAUUGACUUUUGCUUUAGAAGAAAUAAAAAAGGAAAAUCUUUAAAUAGUUCUUCAUCAAAUAAAAGGUAACAAUUUGUAACAGAUUCAACUAUGAACAGGUAUUGCAUCAAUAUGUCUACAAUAGAAAAACAUAAAUAUAUAAAAACAAAGGCAAAGGGGUCAGCUACACAUAUUAACUUACCAAACAUACAUGUUCUAUUGAAAAACUGAUCCCCAUUCACACCCUCCAGGUGGGAGGAUAAGACUAUAAAAAUGGGAAGCCAGCGUGUGGGUGUGGUGUUCUAUUUUAUUAGCAAUUUGGAUGAUAGGAUGUUUUGCUACUGUUUUCAGUUGGCCAAUGACAUAAUAGUGAGAUACUGAUUAUUAAGCUUGGGAAGCUGGUAGGUCAUGGAAAAGAGACCCCAAGAUGCAUAAUGACAGACAUGUAAAAAUGCAAACGUGUAAAAAUGAAAUCACUGCCGUGGUUACUACUAUAUUUUCAGACAAACCAAAUUGUGGUACCAUUCAGAUUAGACGGCGUUCAGGGAUCUCCAGGAGUCCACGGAUAUGGGGUUGUCAACCCUAAACCCACGUACUUCAUAAUUUCCUAACCUUCCCCUUCAAGGCCAGAUGCAUUUCAACCUGCCAGAAGGGGCACAUUAGGGCCCCCUAAGAGGCACGAUUGUUUGAGUAACUUCCCCAGAAACGGACAUGUCUGCUGCUGCCUCAGCUGCAGCACUCUCAUUGGGCAAGCUGUUUUCUAGAGGCUCAUAGGCAGGUGCGGUGAGCAGUGAAGAGUCAAAUUAAUUCUGAGCGCCGGCACUCAGAGCUUCAGAAGCCUCCUUAAAGGGAGAUUUGUCUGGGGGACUAGAGGACUGGCCCCCACACAGGUCACCAGGGAGGGUCCUGCCUCACUGCUCGGGGGCUCACCAGCCAGGCCUCAGCAUCUCUGCCCCACUCACCGGCCCUCAUGGUAAUGGACCACAUAUCCAUUCCCUUCUUGCAGCCUAACAGCCCUCAUGGUUCCCAAGCUCUUCCCCCUUAGAAUUACCCCCAUCAAGUUCCUACGAGAGUCAUUCCAUCAGAGGGCUUAGGUGCUCUCCGAAACCAGAUUUAAAAUCUAGAGGCAUCUCACUGUUUCCUCCUGAAAUUGAUGAGGCACAGCAAGCGGUCUCAGCAAACGAGACCAAAGCUGCUUCUGAGGCAGGGCUGUGGGCCCCAUGCAGUGCAGUUCCUGGCAGACACACCCCUAUUAGGGCCAUGAAGCCACAACACUAAUCCACAAUGGGGAAGGCUCACCUGGAGGGAAUGGGCGUUUUCAACACUGACCUCACUCGAUGUAGUUCUGAGUCAUGAGCAAGGACUUUUGCCUUUUUCCAAUUCUGCAUUUCACCAGGCUAUUCCUAGGUAGGUCUUCCCUAUGUGCAAUGUCUUACAAGAAGAUCUAUUUUGAAAUUAAAUGAGGACUUUUUAUAAAGGCUAAGUUUGACUCUGGUUAAAAACUUAAUCUGGAAGGCAAUGCCAUAUUUGUAUAGAACAAGCACACUUAAAAUUACACUUUAAUAUCUAUCUCAAUUGUGUUUACUAAAAAAGAUCUAGCAGUAAAAAAGGAAUCUCUAAGAAUUAGCAAACUAAAUCCAUGUGUAAAUAAAAUUCAGACCCUUUUCGUUCUUUCGAAGUGGGAAAUAAGAGCUUCAGGGACAUCGCCAAGGAAUCCCACCACCUUUGAGCUGGCAUGGCCUUGGGCAUGAUGUACUGUAACUAUUUACAGAUGAGGAAAAAUGUAGCUUAGAAAGGUUCACUGAUUUUCCCGCAAAAACACAGCCUUUCCAUCGGAAGCCCUGAUUCUAGGAGAAUGAUAUUCUAGAGGGAGUAAACAAUGGCAUUUUCCUAAAGGUGGACUUCUUUGGCCAGAAUCACCUUCUCUGCAUGUAGUCAAACUGCUUCUGAGAGCUGACAAACUCACAGGCAGCCUUGUUGUGAAUUCAAAGACCACUUGACCUCCAGAUAGGCACCUGUUUCUGCCCUAGCGGGAUUUGACUUAUGUGAUUCAGUCAUAGGAAAGAAGCGGUUUCCAACGUGCAAAGUUUACACAGGCCUAACACUGAGGCGGUGAUGCAGCUGUGAGGUCGCAAAACCCAGAGAUGAAAUCUCCCACCACUCGAAGUGCGUUGUUUGAUCAAGUUUCAAAUGCCUCCACAUGCUGAAGUCUACUGACUUCGUCCUAAGCCCUUGGAUUCUGAUGCCAUCUCGUUGGCCUCCUCCCCUCUUGCACAGUUAGCCCAUCUUUCACUGCUGGCCACUCCUGCUGAGCCAACCCUCAAAGGUCGUGCCUGAAUUUCCCUAAGCCCCAUUCUUCCAGGUUCAGUGGAGGCAGCUGAGGUGAUACAGGAGGAAAGGGAAGCUGUUUGUUUGUUUGUUUAAAUCAACCUAGGCAAAAUUAAAGGUAGUCAGAAAGUUAGGAAGAAACAAACAAUAUAUUUCGCUUAAAAUAAGAAGCACGUGGAAAAAGAAAGACUUUGAAAGAGUUGGCCAAUGUCUUCUCACAAUUUUUUGUAUAGCUUUUAAAAAUGUCUGCAUGGCUCAGUGGAGAUGGUGUCCACGUC
rnacentral:lncRNA from 1 species